GGGAAAUAUCUUUGGAAAACCUUUGAAAGUGAAAAUUGGGUGAUAGGGUUCACAGAGAACGCUUGGGCGAGCUUCAAAGAGGAGUUUCAAAUGUGCAGAACCCCAAAAACGCUGAGCUUUUAAAAGCCCAAGCGUGGUCUGCGUCGCAACCGCUCAGCGGUGGGCAUUAAAAAUCUCUUCCUCUUUUUUGCUUGCUUUUGUGUGAUCCAACCCUGUAGCACCUGAUUUCAACCUUCAAAUUUCAAUUUCAUGCCUUUCCCCUCUCAAAUGCAACAUUCAAACAUAUAAUGUACUUAGAACAGAGUUAAAAACAAGAAAUAUUCAACUGGGUUGCUGCCCAGGUAGCACUUGUUUAACAUCACGAGCCUAACCUAAACCUGUCUAGCACUCAUCAGUAAGUGCUUCCCAACACCCUUCAGUAGGUAUACUUACCUGUAUCCUUUAGUAGAUACAUAAAAUUUUAGCAUCCUUUAGUAGAUGCUACCCAAAAAUGUUUAAAAAUCCACGGAAUUACAUGUCCAAAUAAAAUAACCCUACAACUAAAAAAAUUGCUUUACAACAAUUGUCGAGAAGAAGUGUGUGUUGCUUCAUUUUUUUUUUUAUUGACUUUCUUUAGCUUUGAGAGAAGAACACUUGGUCAUGUGUAGCAUAGCACUUUUCAUUUAAUGUUUCUUUUGAUUUGAUGUUGGGAAGAAAAGAAAAAUUGAAUCAUCUUUAUCUACUCAUGGUGGUGGCCUUUCUUUGAUUAAGCAUAGCAUUUGUUUCUUUNUUUCUUUUGGAUUAUUAUCAUGGAUGGAACAUUAGGCACCGCUGGAUGGAGUUUAGAAGCAUGUUUAUUGUCUUAGUCAUUCUAGGAUAGGAAAUAGGCUAGUCAUUUCGUUCUGCAGCUAGGAAUAUAUUAGAAUUUCUUUAGAUUAGGUGUCAAUGUUUGGAGAUGGGAUGGUGGGNUCCGGUCUGAGAUAAAAGAGUGUGGUUACGGCUGAAAGGAAUUUUCAAUUGCCUUAAUUUUUCCUUUUGAAAGAAAAUUUUCGUUGACUCACCAUUGCAGCCGCCACUCACUCUUUAAUUUUUUUAUUCUUCACUGAAACCUUUCUUGAGAGAGUUGGAGCUGGUCGGUGAUUUUGUUUUUGAAUGAAGCUAGUUGUUGCAGCAUGCACACAUCAUUUCCUCUUGCUGGAACGGUGCAGGGGACACUUACUCUCUCCCUCACGGCAUUUUGGGGAUGAGAUACAAGCACAUGGAUCACUUGGCUGCAAAGGGGAGCACACACGCUUGUUUUGAUUUUAAGAAGGUGUCACGACAAAGGGGACUUCUUCAAGCAUUUUACAAUUUUAAUUUUCUUUUGGGAGAUGAAUAUUUUAAUUACUAUGUUGAUUUGGGUUUCACCUUUUAAAUUAGUGUUGCAUUUUAAUAAUUUUAACUGUGCUAGAUAUUUGUUUGCUCUAGUAUUGGGUUUAGCAUUUUCAUUCUCUGGACUCGAUUUCAAAAAAAUAACUGCAACCACACCAGAGGUCCAAAUGCUACGUUUUAUAUAUCACAUGAAAGAUAAUUGAGUCUACUUUCCAUGAAAAAAAACCUCAUCUCAUUUAGAGCUCUGUAGAAAAGGUUAUGGGUAAAACAUUGAGGAAAGGUCAGAGUUGUCUAGUUCCAGCGUGAAUUUUCGUAUUUACUGUAGCAGUUUCGUUUUUACUGUUUUAAUUUCAUUUUCAUGCAUGGUGAAAUGUGUUGUUGCAUUUAAUUUCGUUUUAAUUGAAUUUAAUUACGUUUUUGCAAAAACAGUCUCAAACCCCCCCCCCCCACUUUGUGUUAGACCUAAGAUCGAACCAAAGUUUGGUCCUUGAGAGACGACCUAGGAGUCACUUCCUAGUCUAUACUGCAUUUCUCAUAUGCAAUCAAAUUUGUAUGGGCCGCGACACCCAUCAAAUUUUGGCGCCGCUGCCGGAGACCAACGGUUCGGUUUUAGGUCUUUUGUUGUGUUAGUGUGUGUUGUGUUUUGUCUUGUGUUGUGAGUGUGAUGUUCCGUUUUGAGUGUUCGUCAUUGUGUGUUGCAUUUAGGUAGCUUUAGGUGCAUAUUUUCAUUGCAUUCUUCUUUUCCCCCUUCUUUUCCAUGUCUACCUAUUUUGGUUAUGUGAACACUGCUUCUUUUGCCUGUGUCUAUGAUUAUGAUUCUCCUUCUGCAUCUGACUCUGAGUAUGGUUCUCAUAUAUACUCUGCUGAUUUCUAUGUUGAGAAUAGAACGGUUCCUCCUCCAUCUCAUGAGAGUGCUCCUAGGGAGCCUUUUC
rnacentral:lncRNA from 1 species